rnacentral:rRNA from 1 species
GGUAGUAUUAAAUUAAAAACCCAUAUAAAAUGGCGGUCAUAAUAAAUUAGAGGAACUCGCUUUAUAAUCGUAAAUACCCGAUAAAUUUCACUUAAAACCCAUAAUCUAUAUACCGCCGUUACAGAUUAUAUUUAAUAACAUAAAUCAAUUAAUACAAACAUCAAAAAUCAGGUCAAGGUGUAGUUAAUCUUUAAGAAAAAGUAAGUUACAAUAAAUAUAAUUUAAGGAUUAAAUUCAAAAGAAAAAAUGAAAAAGAAUCUAAUUUCAAAUUCAAAUUAAAAUAUCAAAUAGAAAAUCAAAUUAAUGAUGC